rnacentral:rRNA from 1 species
UACGGGGGGUGCGAGCGUUGUCCGGAAUUACUGGGCGUAAAGGGCGCGUAGGCGGACAUUUAAGUCAGAGGUGAAAGCCCAGGGCUCAACCUUGGAAUUGCCUUUGAUACUGGAUGUCUUGAGUUCGGGAGAGGUGAGUGGAAUGCCGAGUGUAGAGGUGAAAUUCGUAGAUAUUCGGCGGAACACCAGUGGCGAAGGCGACUCACUGGCCCGAUACUGACGCUGAGGCGCGAAAGCGUGGGGAGCAAACAGG